CCUACGGGAGGCAGCAGUGAGGAAUAUUGGUCAAUGGGCGCGAGCCUGAACCAGCCAAGUCGCGUGAAGGAUGACUGUCCUACGGGUUGUAAACUUCUUUUAUAAAGGAAUAAAGUGAGGCACGUGUGCCUUUUUGAAUGUAUUUUAUGAAUAAGGAUCGGCUAACUCCGUGCCAGCAGCCGCGGUAAUACGGAGGAUCCGAGCGUUAUCCGGAUUUAUUGGGUUUAAAGGGAGCGUAGAUGGGUUGUUAAGUCAGGUGUGAAAUUUUGCGGCUCAACCGUAAAAUUGCAAUUGAAACUGGCAGCCUUGAGUACGGGUGAGGUAGGCGGAAUUCGUGGUGUAGCGGUGAAAUGCAUAGAUAUCACGAAGAACUCCGAUUGCGAAGGCAGCCUACUAGACUGCCACUGACGCUGAUGCGCGAAAGUGUGGGUAUCAAACAGGAUUAGAUACCCUUGUAGUC
rnacentral:rRNA from 1 species